rnacentral:tRNA from 1 species
UCCCUGGUGGCUCAGACGGUAAAGCAUCUGCCUGCAAUGCGGGAGACCCAGGUUUGAUUCCUGGGUCGGGAA